UUCUAGAGUCCGACCUGCCGGAUGGCUGCGUUGCGCUGAGCCAAGCACAGCUUAUAUUCACCGUGGGUAAUGACGGUGCUUAUCAGAUAAAAAAUCAGUGGUCAGAUCAUUUCCCUUCGGCCGAACGCACUUCGGAAAACGACGGUGUGGAUCAGGAUUAUAUUUGCUUGUUGACCACAAGGCACUGCCAGUUGUGAGCAUGGAAGCUCCAACCAUUAUAUGCCAGGCCCUGAAGGAGCAAGGUGUGCAGUACAUGUUCGGCGUGGUCGGCAUCCCCGUGAUGGAGGUGGCUGUAGCGGCCCAGCAAGUCGGAAUGCACUACAUCGGGAUGCGCAACGAGCAGUCGGCGGCGUACGCGGCACAGGCGAUAGGCUUCCUGACGCAGCGGCCGGCCGUCUGCCUGGCAG